CCUACGGGUGGCUGCAGUGAGGAAUAUUGGUCAAUGGGCGAGAGCCUGAACCAGCCAUGCCGCGUGCAGGAAGACGGCCCUACGGGUUGUAAACUGCUUUUGUGUGGGAAGAAACCGUUCUACGUGUAGGACACUGACGGUACCAUAUGAAUAAGCAUCGGCUAACUCCGUGCCAGCAGCCGCGGUAAUACGGAGGAUGCGAGCGUUAUCAGGAUUUAUUGGGGUUAAGGGGUAUGUAGAAGGACGUUUAGAAAUCUCAGAGCUUAACUCUGAAACUGCCAUAGAUACUGGUUGUCUUGAGUACAGUUGAAGUAGGCGGAAUGUGUAAUGUAGCGGUGAAAUGCUUAGAUAUUACACAGAACACCGAUUGCGAAGGCAGCUUGCUAAGCUGUUACUGACGCUGAUGCACGAAAGCGUGGGGAGCGAACAGGAUUAGAUACCCCUGUAGUC
rnacentral:rRNA from 1 species